rnacentral:rRNA from 1 species
UACGUAGGGUGCAAGCGUUAUCGGAAUUACUGGGCGUAAAGCGUGCGCAGGCGGUUGUGCAAGACCGAUGUGAAAUCCCCGGGCUCAACCUGGGAAUGGCAUUGGUGACUGCACGGCUAGAGUGUGUCAGAGGGGGGUAGAAUUCCACGUGUAGCAGUGAAAUGCGUAGAGAUGUGGAGGAAUACCGAUGGCGAAGGCAGCCCCCUGGGAUAACACUGACGCUCAUGCACGAAAGCGUGGGGAGCAAACAGG